GGAUGAAUAUUGGUCAAUGGGCGAAAGCCUGAACCAGCCAAGUCGCGUGAGGGAAGACGGUCCUAUGGAUUGUAAACCUCUUUUGCAGGGGAGCAAUGCCCGGUACGUGUACCGGGAGGGAGAGUACCCUGAGAAAAAGCAUCGGCUAACUCCGUGCCAGCAGCCGCGGUAAUACGGAGGAUGCGAGCGUUAUCCGGAUUUAUUGGGUUUAAAGGGUGCGUAGGCGGACUUGUAAGUCAGCGGUAAAAAUGCGGUGCUCAACGCCGUAGUGCCGUUGAAACUGCAGGUCUUGAGUGAGCGAGAAGUAUGCGGAAUGCGUGGUGUAGCGGUGAAAUGCAUAGAUAUCACGCAGAACUCCGAUUGCGAAGGCAGCAUACCGGCGCUCAACUGACGCUGAGGCACGAAAGCGUGGGGAUCGAACAGGAUUAGAUACC
rnacentral:rRNA from 1 species